GACGAACCGUGCGAACGUUGUUCGGAAUCACUGGGCUUAAAGGGAGCGUAGGCGGGCUAUCAAGUCUGGGGUGAAAUCCCACGGCUCAACCGUGGAACUGCCUUAGAUACUGACGGCCUCGAGGGAGAUAGGGGCAUGCGGAACUGUAGGUGGAGCGGUGAAAUGCGUUGAUAUCUACAGGAACUCCGGUGGCGAAAGCGGCGUGCUGGAUCUCUUCUGACGCUGAGGCUCGAAAGCUAGGGGAGCAAACGGGG
rnacentral:rRNA from 1 species